CUCGAGGCAGAUAAGGCUGGGGUAGAGCCGAGAACCACGCGCUGCGAGGGAGAGGGGCUGGAGGGAGGCACCUCCUGGCUCAUGCACGCUGGCUGCGAUCUCCCUGGCAGGGUGAGGGCCCCCAGCCCCUGUGGGAGCCCCCAGCCCCUGUGGGAGCCCCCAGCACAUUGGGUUUGAGGGUUUUGCACAAGGCUUUGCAGGUGUGCGUGGUGUGGGCAUGAAGGAGGCACAGGUGUGCUGCAGGCAGGCAGGUGGGGUUGUUUGCAGGCAGGUGUGUGUUGUUUCCACCUAAAAACCAAUUAACGGUAAUGCUGCUGAGCUCAUUAGCCUACCUGUGGCUGGCCCAUCCACUUUGUUUGCUAGCCCCCAGCAUGGAGUCAGCCCAGUGGAGCACAGGGGUUGAGCAGGGCAGGUCCUGUCCCAGCAGCUGAAACAAGCUGUGCCUGGUCUUGGUGCAGCAGUGCCAGCAGGAGUCAGCAUGGGCAAGGAAAUGAGAUGCUUCCAAAUAAUUUACCACCCUCUGCUUGCACAAAAUCCAUUUGCACGAUUUUGCUGUGCUUGGUCGCUCGCCCUGCCUUCAUCCCUCGGGUGCUCGGGGUUAAAGUGCGUUCAGUCAGCUGAGGCCAGCACCGGCCAUUUCUGCUUUCCAGCAUGACAUCAAGCAAACCUGAGUGUGCGAGCAGCUAGCCAGCAGAACGGUCUCCCAGGGGAAGGAAAGGUGGAAGCUGAGAUGCUGAAAACUGGGCUGCAGGGAACAGCCUGCACUGGCCAGGAGACAGACUGCAUGAUCUAAUAGGUCUUUUCCAUUUCUCGCUCCUGUGAUUCAAGAAGUCCUGUCACUGGGGAUUUUUUUAAAAAUAGACUGGAUGAAACACAAGACGGUGGAUGGACAGAUCGGUCCUGCCUUGGCCGGGGGACAGCAGGUCUCCACGAAUGGCAGGUCUCAGUCUGGAACUGAUUUGACUCCAGUCACCAGAGCCGCUGCUACCAGGGAUUUUGUAAGAGUCUGCAAGGCCUUUAAUCUCUUCCCCUACAAAUAGCUCUGCAAACGCCUCUCCUGGCACCGUGCCCCAGGGAGCUGUGAGCAUCCCUGCACCACGCCACGACCUCACAAGCACCCAGCUGUACCCCCCGGGAGGGUCACCUGCCUCGUGUCCCUUCUCUAGCUCAGAACCGUGCCUGGGGAUGACAGGGAUGUGGCAAGCAAUGGAUUCAUGGUCCCUGUGCUCUCCUGCCUGGGGUGACAGGGAGGUCUCCACGAGGAAUUUCGGUGCAGAUGUUUAAUAACAGCGGGACACGUGAAGUCUUGUUCGCCUUCACGGCUAUCGGUGCUGCUCAGCCACGCACACGGUUGUUUUCCUUGGCUCUGACAGAGAAACGCGCUCCUCGAGGACUUUUCAUUAAGCAAAAAUUUAUGAGAGAGGAUGAAAAUCAUGUUUUACUGUCUGAGGGCUCAGUCAGUGCUGUUUCUUCAGACGUUUUAGUAAUUCGUCUUGGCAAGGACCUAGAAAAUGUCUCCAGUGGAACAGAAAUUUCCCUUGGACGCUUGGAGUCGCUCGCAUCGGCCGGUCCCGUCCCCAGCGUGGACCGCUGCCCGGAUUAACGACCUGCCCCCCCGGGAGCCGAAACAAAAGCGAAACACCUCGCAAUUUAUGUCCAGUGAAAAAUAACGUGCACAUGAUGUAAAGCGUUAUUGGGAUUUGAUGCUAAUUUUAGUGGUCACCUUGGCUGAGUUUGAGGAAGUUGCCGGCGCUGCCAAGAGCAAAUUUACCUGAUGAUGAAUGAGGAAUCAGAGCAUAAAAUAAAUAAAUAUCAGCAACACCUUUUUUUUUCCCUGCUUUUUUGGCAGGUUGGUGUCAUCCAAGGUCACACAUUUGUGCAUUAGGAGAACUACUGCCAGAGCUUAGCGCUUUAAAGUCAUUUCUGAGUGAAGAGCAGCAUCUUUAAGGGCUGAGCCUUAAAAAAAAGCGUCCAAAAUAUUCUCCCAAAAAAUUCUUGCCAUUGGCUAGGUUUGCACAUAAGGUGUUAAUCUUCUUCCCUCCUUGUGUUCCUUCUUAGGCUUGGAAGCAGCUUGCUAUGAAUUUCUGCAAAAAUUCCUUGUUUUCCUCCUUGAAUCCAGGGCUGAAAGCACCCACGGCAGCCCCGACCUGGAGAGGGGCAGGGCAGGGUGUCCUGCAGGGGAGGAGGUCGGGCCAUGGGGUGCCCCUUGUUCUCCUCUCCAUGGGAAGACCUCUUGAAACUUUGGUUUUGUGUGCUCUAAAUGGAGAAAAGGAGGGUUUUCUGUUUGUUUUUCAACAAAUCGCAACAAGCAGGAAAAUCUUUUGUUUCCAUCAGCGCUUUUCUCAGACAGAGCCCGUGUCCCAGCCAGCUCCUGGCACGAACUCAGGGCUGGAGCCAGGCUCCGGCAAAGCAAACAGCACAUCCCAGGGCUGCCUGAAGCACCCCGAGGAAUUUCAGCUCCCCGCUGAGGUGCCCUGCCACUGUCGGAGGACAGACCCAAGACCUGGGGGAAGUACAGCCAUCCCAACCUUUUUUUGUGAUUUCUUUUAUUACUUUGUCCUCCCACAGCAAACCAGGAGGGAGGUCAGGAAGAACAAGCGUUUUCAGGCUCCCGGCACUGCGACGACAGAAAGCAGACCUCUGAGCGCUUGCCCCUCUGCGAGCUUCCAAAAACCAGUGCAAGCCCUGGGCAAGUCACAGCUACAGAAGGGCUUGCAAGCAAAACCAACACGAGCCUUCCUGCAUGACCCCUGCUCCUGGGGUUCAGAGGGCAGCAAGUGUCACUGCCCUGGCUCCCAAGCUGUUGCUAAUUACUGAAAGCAUCUCUAAUAAACCAGGAAGCUCCCCUUUAGAAACCACGAGCCUUAUUUGCGUGUAGUACCAAGCAUUCUGUGGUUUCGGAGAUGGCCUUUCAAGAUUUGCUUUUUUUUAAUUUUGCUUUGUUUGUUUUUAUUAUUUUAUUUAUUUUUUUCUUCCCAAAGAGGAUGCGGGAAGGGGAUGUGUAAGGCUGCCGAAAUAAUGCAGCCCAUGCAGGGAGGGGACGUUUGCGUUGUGUUAAGCAGGUUCCUCGGUGGAGACGAGGCACGGCUGAAUUUAUAGCAACCCUCAGAAGAGAAUGAUAAAUGGAAGCUGUAAUUUUUAUUGGGGAGGGGGACAGAUCAUGGGUGAGGGAACAAAAUAAUAAAAAAAGCAUAAAUUAGAAGCGCGGCUUGACGGCUGGGAGCCGAAAGUGUUUGGCUCGUAUAUAAUGUGCGUUUCUCGUGGAACAUGAUCCAGCCCAGCGCAUGGAAAUUACCUGCAAAAAGACUUUCUAUUAAGUCAUAUUACUGUGAACUCUCUCUACAAGGGCUCCGAGGACGGGUGCCCCGAGAGGCGCUGCUGCUCCUUGCUUCCUGCUGCUCCUGACCCACAUCCUACAACAACCGCCCGCCCUCAGCUGGCCCAUGCGGUGCUGCUCCGUUUUGGCACAUCCAUAUAUUUAAUAUAGACAGGAUGAAAGUCAGAGAGCAGGGCCAGCACACCUUUUAAGCCCAAUACAAGCCCAGUGGGACACCCUGUAGCUCUCCUUAGGAGAGGUUUGGAUGGUCUGCGGGCAGCUGCUUGUUCUUGCACCCAUCCAGCAUAGAUGGGUGCUGGUCCCCAUCCUAUUCCAAGUGCCCAGGGGUAUGGGGCAAUGCUCUGCCUCUUGGAGCCACUGUUUUUUAACCAGGAAAAAAUGCAAUGUGCUACGAAGCAGCGCUGUGGAUGGCUCCAGGACCCUCCAUCACCAGCAGAGUGCAGGAACAUCACUGCCAGGACAUGCAAAUAUCACUGCUGGGACACAGGAACGUCACUGCCAGGAUGAGCAGCUCAGAGGACAUCGUGUGUGCCCCUGCCCAUCCCAAUGCCAGCAGGAGUUUGGCUGCUCACAGACCCUUCAGAUCUGGGUGCCUCUGGGAUGUGCACGACCUGCAGCAAAGUCAUCUGCAAAGCCUUGCCUCGGAGAGAAGUGUUAAACCAGGAGAGCUCCUCCAUGCAGGGAGGGUGGCAGGGAGCAGCCUGGAGGAAGGCAGGAACCAGAGGCUUUGGUGGACCCACAGGAGAAACAGCAGAGUUGAACGGAGUGACUCUGGGUCUGUCUGAUCAAAUAACCGGAGUGGGAAGGGGCCGAGCAUCUUUCCAUGACACAUUUCCACCCUCCACACGUUCUCAAGGAGCGGCAGCCUCACAGCACCCCAGACUUCCCAAGUCUCGUCCUGACAGCCAAGUUUGCCUCUAAACCUGACCGGUUUCUUUGGGUUUGAGUCCAUCUACCGAUCCCUUUUUGAUGCCAGAAGUGCUUCCCUGAGCCAAAUUUCCCUGGUAAUUGUCCUUUGGAUUAGUUUGGAAAAUUGCAUAAGCCCUGGGUUAGAGCUGGCUGCGUCUCUCAUCCGAGUGCCUAAGGCUUCAUGGGGCAAAGACUAAAGAGCUGUGAAAUGCAGAGAUAUAACAGAUGUUGACAUGUAGUGAAAAUACUAGACGCAGGAGCCUAAGAUAAUAAAUCUGAAAAAUUAACACGUAGGAGAACGAAAAAAGGAGCAAUAUGUUUUGGUAAUCAUUCUGAACUGCUGAACCCUUCUCCUGCAGUUCAAAAAUCUCUGGUAUUAAGCAGAUGUCAUUCAACCAAUGAUUAACACA